rnacentral:rRNA from 1 species
AAAUUGAACUCGCUGUGAAGAUGCAGUGUACCCGCGGCAAGACGGAAAGACCCCGUGAACCUUUACUAUAGCUUGACACUGAACAUUGAGCCUUGAUGUGUAGGAUAGGUGGGAGGCUUUGAAGUGUGGACGCCAGUCUGCAUGGAGCCGACCUUGAAAUACCACCCUUUAAUGUUUGAUGUUCUAACGUGGACCCGUAAUCCGGGUUGCGGACAGUGUCUGGUGGGUAGUUUGACUGGGGCGGUCUCCUCCUAAAGAGUAACGGAGGAGCACGAAGGUUGGCUAAUCCUGGUCGGACAUCAGGAGGUUAGUGCAAUGGCAUAAGCCAGCUUGACUGCGAGCGUGACGGCGCGAGCAGGUGCGAAAGCAGGUCAUAGUGAUCCGGUGGUUCUGAAUGGAAGGGCCAUCGCUCAACGGAUAAAAGGUACUCCGGGGAUAACAGGCUGAUACCGCCCAAGAGUUCAUAUCGACGGCGGUGUUUGGCACCUCGAUGUCGGCUCAUCACAUCCUGGGGCUGAAGUAGGUCCCAAGGGUAUGGCUGUUCGCCAUUUAAAGUGGUACGCGAGCUGGGUUUAGAACGUCGUGAGACAGUUCGGUCCCUAUCUGCCGUGGGCGCUGGAGAACUGAGGGGGGCUGCUCCUAGUACGAGAGGACCGGAGUGGACGCAUCACUGGUGUUCGGGUUGUCAUGCCAAUGGCACUGCCCGGUAGCUAAAUGCGGAAGAGAUAAGUGCUGAAAGCAUCUAAGCACGAAACUUGCCCCGA